rnacentral:lncRNA from 1 species
GACGCCUACACCUAAAAUGCUUAGGAAGGGAAGAAGCAAAUGAAACGAUCUUGUGCAAUUUCAUUACUCAUUCAUCGUAAAGCUUCGAUAGUUUUUGAGAAAAUGUCAAGAAUUAGGAAGAAUCUGUGUUAUUACAAAUGAUGUAAGAUGGCAGUAGACAAGAUGAAGAAAAGCGUUUAGAACAUGAGCCCCGUAGAGUUACAUUUUCUGCAAAGGAUGGAGGGUGUAACAUGAAAUUAACUUUACUGUAGGAAUGCUUUUUUCUGCAAUGAACAAUUUCUUCUACAAAGUAUUGCUUUCUUUCAUCGAGGAAAUAGCAUUGUAAAAUAUGGAGCAAGUGCUUCGAAAGUUUAAAGUACUUUCGCUCUACAAAAUUCAUCUCGACUUAUUUUAACAGAAGAAGUUUUCAAACUUCCCCAAAAGACAAAAAAAAUUUAAAGAGAAAUCGAAAAGUGUGUUAAAUCCACAACGUAAACAAAAGGCGAACAGAUACGAAAGCUUGGACGAAGAAUUGAAAAGGAAAUAUGAAUAACAUAACCAAAAAAAGCUUUUCUCCCAAGUAUCACUGGAAGGACGUUUUAGUGCUAUUAUGUCAGGUUUUGACAAAACAGAUGGACUACAAACUGCAGAAAUAUGACUUUAUUAACAAAUCGUAUUUCUAAGAGAUAAAUGUUAUUGACUUUCCAAAAAGCUCAUCUCUCCAUAUAUUAGCUGUUAAAAUAUUGUUGCUAUUGUAAUACUUAUAGCAUUGCGUUGUGUUGUUAUUAUCGUUAUGUGAAUGCAUGUAUACAUAAUAUUAAUUAUAAAAAAAACUAAAAUAUU